rnacentral:rRNA from 1 species
CUAGGCACCCAGAGACGAGGAAGGUCAUAGUAAGCGACGAAAUGCUUCG